ACCACAUCCGCGUGGUGCAGCCGAUAGGUGACGGACGCACGCUCUACAUUUGCGGGACCAACGCCAGGGCGCCCACGGAUUGGCAAGUCAUGGUGUGUGAUUGGGCGCUAUCUCUUCUUUAUUUAAUUGCAGUUUAUUGGUUGUCUUUCUUUCGCCCCCUCUAUUCUCAGUCGAAGUUUUUCUCCUCUGGUAAAAAGAAAGAAGCAAAUAGCAAAUACGCCUGAUGCUGUCUCGGCUAUCGAAGGUGGCAGCGGCUCAAAUCUGUACGGUGUACAGACUUAAGUGGCAGCACUAGACUUUUCUAUGAUAUUGUUACGGAGCAGUGGGGCAUACAUAGUGCGACUAUGAACAAAGACAACGAUUUGUCGAGAAGAAAGGGUGGCUGGUUUGGGCAGCCAUCUUGCGCAUGCAGUGUUGCUGCAACUUGUAUAUACAUGUAAAUACACCUACGCGUCACUAAUUCUGCCCCGUAGCAUUUUGGUGGAAGUGCGAGGUAGAAUUAGUGAAGCGUAAGUGUAUUCACUAAUUCUGCCCCGUAGCAAUAUGAACGUUACUAUACAAGGUCGUUUGAGUGUGAGCAAAAAAAAAAAAAGGAAAAAGACAAAGAAAUAUAAAACAUCAAAAUCUGAACAAUGACAACAAGCAGCACUCUCGCAACUAACACAUCGAAAACAAAACGUUUCAUAGACUCCUGGGGGCAGCCAGAAUGAGGUAUACAACGUCUACAGUUAUGCGAGAAGCCUUCACAACGUCUUCGCACUAAGUUUACAAAACUCAUAUGCGGAGAAGUGUAGGAGAAAGAUUUGCUGAGCAUAUAAAAACUCUCCGAGAUCGGGCUUUGACAACUAGAUAUAUGAACGCCCUUCUCGCACGCUGCGCCGUGCAGCCACUCGGCUGCAUCUUUUGAACAUAAUGUCUAUUGACGUCUUUGCUCGCUGGUAUACAGCUCAACAUUAUCCAAAGCGCACGGUCGUAAUUGGUGCAGCGUUUACCAAAUGUAAGUUGGCUUAUCAUUGCUGUCGUGACACUGUCGGUGAUGUGUAUGCCAGCCGCCGUUCAGAUGGCAUGAGUGAGCCGUUUCAAUUGCACAGUUGCUAGCAAAGAAAAGAAAGAAGAAAGAUGAAAAAAAGAAGAGAAGUUAAGAAGCGUAGGCGCAACAGAUGAAGACAAGAUGGGCCCUCAUUUGGCAAGUUUUCUCUUGUGUGACAUGAUCACCUUUACAUUGUUACGCGCAGGCCAAAGAUUUGACGCUGGUUCCAGUGGUUCAGCAGAAGGCUAUCUUUCAAAGCAACGAGACUGGAAAGGCGGAAGGACGCUGCUCCUACUUCGUCUCCCAGGAAACUUCGUCGCUCUGGCUUGACGACGCUCCCGAACCUGGCGCUUCGAGCGUAGUGAGCACAUGGCCGCUGUCUGGCAACAAGCACGCCUUCUACCGCGCGCCGAUCGCAAAGGAGAAAUCAGAUUUGCCGCGCUACCCGCACCUGCUGACCGACACCACCAGCACCGCCGUUCUUAUUGACCCGCACUCGGUGGGUGCCGUCGCGUGGGGCAGGUACGCCUAUUUCGUGUUCCGGGAGACUGCCCUCGAGACCAAGGUGUGCGGUCAACGGGUCGCCUCCACUGUGGGUC